rnacentral:rRNA from 1 species
UACGUAGGGUCCGAGCGUUGUCCGGAAUUAUUGGGCGUAAAGAGCUCGUAGGCGGCGUGUCACGUCUGCUGUGAAAGACCGGGGCUUAACUCCGGUUCUGCAGUGGAUACGGGCAUGCUAGAGGUAGGUAGGGGAGGCUGGAAUUCCUGGUGUAGCGGUGAAAUGCGCAGAUAUCAGGAGGAACACCGGUGGCGAAGGCGGGUCUCUGGGCCUUACCUGACGCUGAGGAGCGAAAGCAUGGGGAGCGAAC